GAUGAACGCUAGCGGGAGGCCUAACACAUGCAAGCCGAGCGGUAUUGUUUCUUCGGAAAUGAGAGCGCGGCUCACGGGUGCGUAACACGUGUGCAACCUGCCUUUAUCUGGGGGCUAGCCUUUCGCAAGGAAGAUUAAUACUCCAUAAUAUAUUUAACGGCAUCGUUUAAUAUUGAAAGCCCCGGCGGAUAGAGAUGGGCACGCGCAAGAUUCGCUAGUUGGUGAGGUAACGGCUCACCAAGGCGAUGAUCUUUAGGGGGCCUGAGAGGGUGAUCCCCCAGACUGGUACUGAGACACGGACCAGACUCCUACGGGAGGCAGCAGUGAGGAAUAUUGGUCAAUGGGUGCAAGCCUGAACCAGCCAUCCCGCGUGAAGGACGACUGCCCUAUGGGUUGUAAACUUCUUUUGUAUAGGGAUAAACCUACCCUCGUGAGGGUAGCUGAAGGUACUAUACGAAUAAGCACCGGCUAACUCCGUGCCAGCCGCCGCAGUAA
rnacentral:rRNA from 1 species